rnacentral:rRNA from 1 species
UACGAAGGGGGCUAGCGUUGCUCGGAAUUACUGGGCGUAAAGGGCGCGUAGGCGGCCAGGUUAGUCAGAUGUGAAAGCCCAGGGCUCAACCUUGGAACUGCCUUUGAUACUGGCUGUCUUGAGUUCGGGAGAGGUGAGUGGAACUGCGAGUGUAGAGGUGAAAUUCGUAGAUAUUAGGAAGAACACCAGUGGCGAAGGCGGCUCACUGGCCCGGUACUGACGCUGAGGCGCGAAAGCGUGGGGAGCAAACAGG